UGAGGAAUUUUCCGCAAUGGGCGAAAGCCUGACGGAGCGACGCCGCGUGAGCGAUGAAGCCCUUCGGGGUGUAAAGCUCUUUCGACGGGAACGAUAAUGACGGUACCCGGAGAAGAAGCUGCGGCUAACUACGUGCCAGCAGCCGCGGUAAUACGUAGGCAGCGAGCGUUGUUCGGAAUUACUGGGCGUAAAGAGUGUGUAGGCGGUGUUCCCAGUCUGUUGUGAAAUCUCCCGGCUUAACUGGGAGGGUGCAGCGGAAACUAGAAUGCUAGAGGGUGGGAGAGGUAAGCGGAAUUCCUGGUGUAGCGGUGAAAUGCGUAGAUAUCAGGAGGAACACCUGUGGUGUAGACAGCUUACUGGACCACUUCUGACGCUGAGACACGAAAGCGUGGGUAGCAAACAGGAUUAGAUACCCUGGUAGUCCACGCCCUAAACGAUGCAUACUUGGUGUGAGCGAUUCAUUUCGUUCGUGCCGGAGCUAACGCGUUAAGUAUGCCGCCUGGGGAGUACGGUCGCAAGGCUG
rnacentral:rRNA from 1 species